rnacentral:rRNA from 2 species
CGGUACGCGAGCUGGGUUCAGAACGUCGUGAGACAGUUCGGUCCCUAUCCGGCGCGGGCGUAGGAUAUUUGAGAGGAGCUGUCCUUAGUACGAGAGGACCGGGAUGGACAGACCGCUGGUGUAUCUGUUGGCUUACCAAGGCCAUGGCAGAGUAGCCAAGUCUGGACGGGAUAAACGCUGAAGGCAUCUAAGCGUGAAGCCCCCCUCAAGAUGAGAUAUCCCAUCGCAAGAGUAAGACCCCUUGAAGAAGACGAGGUAGAUAGGUUAGAGGUGGAAGUGCAGUAAUGUAUGUAGCUGACUAAUACUAAUCGGUCGAGGGCUUAACCA